GAUGAACGCUGGCGGCGUGCUUAACACAUGCAAGUCGAACGAUGAAGCCCAGCUUGCUGGGUGGAUUAGUGGCGAACGGGUGAGUAACACGUGAGUAACCUGCCCUUAACUCUGGGAUAAGCCUGGGAAACUGGGUCUAAUACCGGAUAGGAGCGCCUACCGCAUGGGGGGUGUUGGAAAGAUUUAUCGGUUUUGGAUGGACUCGCGGCCUAUCAGCUUGUUGGUGAGGUAAUGGCUCACCAAGGCGACGACGGGUAGCCGGCCUGAGAGGGUGACCGGCCACACUGGGACUGAGACACGGCCCAGACUCCUACGGGAGGCAGCAGUGGGGAAUAUUGCACAAUGGGCGAAAGCCUGAUGCAGCGACGCCGCGUGAGGGAUGACGGCCUUCGGGUUGUAAACCUCUUUCAGUAGGGAAGAAGCGAAAGUGACGGUACCUGCAGAAGAAGCACCGGCUAACUACGUG
rnacentral:rRNA from 1 species